UUAAAAAGUGUCAUUAUAUAGGUCCCCCACCAUUAAUGAUCAAUUAUGUCAAUUUGCCCAAUUUGUCAUUGCAUUCACAAUUAUCUGUACAUGAGAUGACUCAUCCUAUUGUCAGUUGUGGACAAAAUCAAGAUGAAUUUAAACAGAUUCCUUACAUUGGUAAAUGCAAAAAAAGUCUAUGGGUUUUAGAAUAGGCUAGCUCGACUUCCUACAACCAGGACCAGACUUUCACUCCUGCUCCCUAUAUUCAAAGGCCAGGUGAGGAUGGGAGCUGUUACAUCAGUGAGUCAACAGCAGCAGAGGAGUCAGAAGGAUGACCCCUGUGGGCAAAACCAGGAGAGAAGCCAAGGAGAAGCCAAGGAUGCUAGAGGUCAACCUUACCUUUGUUGAUUUGCCCAACUCAUCUUCGAUGUCUUGAAAAGGAAAAGGUCUAUAAUAUUAAUGGUUUGCGGCAACACGACACACACAAAGAAAAGUAUCUCCUCAUCUCCACUUCUGAUGCCAGAACCAAACCAUCCCUGACUACAGCCAUUCCUUCUGGAACAACCUCUUAUCUGCAUCAAAACGAUGUCCAAUCUCAUUCUGUGCGUCACCACCAUAGUGGGAUAAGCUGCAAGACGCAGCUUGUUCAAAGAGACUCCCGUCCUGUGUCUUUCCACUGAUUGACUACCUCUCCAUGUCUUCUCAGUUCCCAUCAUAUGGCUCAAUAGGCCAUCAU